rnacentral:tRNA from 1 species
GGCAGUGUGGCUCAGUUGGUUAAAGCACCUGUCUAAUAAAUAGGGGAUCCAGGGUUCAAAUCAUAGCAGUGCCU